rnacentral:rRNA from 1 species
GACGAACGCUGGCGGCGUGCCUAACACAUGCAAGUCGAGCGGGGAUUUAAGUGGAAGUUCUUCGGAAUGGAGAUUUAAAUUCUAGCGGCGGACGGGUGAGUAACGCUUGAACAAUCUGUCCCGGACAGGGGGAUAACACUUGGAAACAGGUGCUAAUACCGCAUAAGACCACGGCCUCGCAUGGGGCUGAGGUAAAAGGAGCAAUCCGGUUCGGGGUGAGUUCGCGUCCGAUUAGCUAGUUGGUGAGGUAACGGCCCACCAAGGCGACGAUCGGUAGCCGGCCUGAGAGGGUGAACGGCCACAUUGGAACUGAGAGACGGUCCAAACUCCUACGGGAGGCAGCAGUGGGGAAUAGUGGGAAAGUGGCGAAAGCCUGACCCAGCAACGCCGCGUGAGGGAAGAAGGUUUUCGGAGUGUAAACCUCUGUCCUAUGGGACGAAGGAAGUGACGGUACCAUAGGAGGAAGCCCCGGCUAACUACGUG